CCUACGGGAGGCAGCAGUGGGGAAUUUUGCGCAAUGCUCGUAAGAGUGACGCAGCGACGCCGCGUGAAUGACGAAGGCCCUCGGGUCGUAAAGUUCUUUCGACAGGGAAGAAAAUGCCUACAAGUAACUGUGUAUGUAUUGACGGUACCUGUAUAAGCAGCCCCGGCGAACUCCGUGCCAGCAGCCGCGGUAAUACGGAGGGGGCGAGCGUUGUUCGGGGUGACUGGGCGUAAAGAGCACGUAGGCGGUGUUGUAAGUCAUUAGUCAAAGACUAGCGCUCAACUUUAGUAAGGCUAGUGAUACUAUAAUACGAGAGUAUCAGAGAGGAUUGCAGAAUGCCUGGUGUAGCGGUGAAAUGCGUAGAUAUCAGGAGGAAUACCGUUAGCGAAGGCAGCAAUCUGGCUGGAAACUGACGCUGAGGUGCGAAAGCGUGGGUAGCGAACAGGAUUAGAUACCCUAGUAGUC
rnacentral:rRNA from 1 species